rnacentral:tRNA from 2 species
AGGCGCUUAGCUCAGUUGGUUAGAGCGCUUCCUUCACACGGAAGAGGUCCGCGGUUCGAGUCCGCGAGCGCCUACCA